AAGUCGUAACAAGGUUUCCGUAGGUGAACCUGCGGAAGGAUCAUUAACAGAUUCUGCCAGUCAGAUAUCUUACCCCGUGUGAACUGUUCUUUCGACUUGGUGUCCAAGACCUCUGUCCCUUAAAGUCGGCGUCUUUUGACACCCGAUUUUGGUGGUCAGAGCCUAGGCACCAUCAUUUUACCUCUUGAUUUUGAAUGCCGAGUAAACCACAAAAGACUAGAAAACUUUUAGCAACGGAUCUCUAGGCUCUU
rnacentral:misc_RNA from 1 species